AACGCAGCUUGCGCUCUCUGGUAUUCCGGAGAGCAUGCCUGUUUCAGUGUCAUGAAAUCUCAACCACUAGGGUUUCCUAAUGGAUUGGAUUUGGGCGUCUGCGAUCUCUGAUCGCUCGCCUUAAAAGAGUUAGCAAGUUUGACAUUCAUGUCUGGUGUAAUAAGUUUCACUGGGUCCAUGGUGUUGAAGCGUGCUUCUAAUCGUCCGCAAGGACAAUUACUUUGACUCUGGCCUGAAAUCAGGUAGGACUACCCGCUGAACUUAA
rnacentral:misc_RNA from 1 species